rnacentral:rRNA from 1 species
AGUGAACGCUGGCGGUAGGCCUAACACAUGCAAGUCGAACGGCAGCACAGUAAGAGCUUGCUCUUACGGGUGGCGAGUGGCGGACGGGUGAGGAAUACAUCGGAAUCUACUUUUUCGUGGGGGAUAACGUAGGGAAACUUACGCUACUACCGCAUACGACCUACGGGUGAAAGCAGGGGAUCUUCGGACCUUGCGCGAUUGAAUGAGCCGAUGUCGGAUUAGCUAGUUGGCGGGGUAAAGGCCCACCAAGGCGACGAUCCGUAGCUGGUCUGAGAGGAUGAUCAGCCACACUGGAACUGAGACACGGUCCAGACUCCUACGGGAGGCAGCAGUGGGGAAUAUUGGACAAUGGGCGCAAGCCUGAUCCAGCCAUACCGCGUGGGUGAAGAAGGCCUUCGGGUUGUAAAGCCCUUUUGUUGGGAAAGAAAAGCAGAAGGUUAAUACCCCGCUGUUCUGACGGUACACAAAGAAUAAGCACCGGCUAACUUCGUG